rnacentral:rRNA from 1 species
AACGCUAUCGGUAUGCUUAACACAUGCAAGUCGAACGGAUUAAUUAGAGCUUGCUCUAGUUAAUUAGUGGCAGACGGGUGAGUAACACGUGGGAAUCUACCCAUCAGUACGGAAUAACUUUUAGAAAUAAAAGCUAAUACCGUAUAUUCUCUACGGAGGAAAGAUUUAUCGCUGAUGGAUGGGCCCGCGUCAGAUUAGGUAGUUGGUGUGGUAAUGGCUCACCAAGCCGACGAUCUGUAGCUGGUCUGAGAGGAUGAUCAGCCACACUGGGACUGAGACACGGCCCAGACUCCUACGGGAGGCAGCAGUGGGGAAUAUUGGACAAUGGGCGAAAGCCUGAUCCAGCAAUACCGAGUGAGU